rnacentral:rRNA from 1 species
UACAGAGGUCUCAAGCGUUGUUCGGAUUCAUUGGGCGUAAAGGGUGCGUAGGCGGCGCGGUAAGUCGGGUGUGAAAUUUCGAGGCUUAACUUCGAAACUGCAUUCGAUACUGCCGUGCUUGAGGACUGGAGAGGAGACUGGAAUUUACGGUGUAGCGGUGAAAUGCGUAGAUAUUGGGAGGAACACCAGUGGCGAAGGCGGCUACCUGGACCGGUACUGACGCUGAUGCGCGAAAGCGUGGGUAGCAAACAGG